GGCUCAGAACGAACGCUGGCGGCGUGCUUAACACAUGCAAGUCGAACGAACCUUCGGGUUAGUGGCGGACGGGUGAGUAACGCGUGAGAAUCUGCCCUCAGGAGGGGGAUAACGGUUGGAAACGACCGCUAAUACCCCAUAUGCCGAGAGGUGAAAAGAAAUUCGCCUGAGGAUGAGCUCGCGUCUGAUUAGCUAGUUGGUGUGGUAAUGGCGCACCAAGGCUUCGAUCAGUAGCUGGUCUGAGAGGAUGAUCAGCCACACUGGGACUGAGACACGGCCCAGACUCCUACGGGAGGCAGCAG
rnacentral:rRNA from 1 species